UAGAUACCCCACUAUGCCUAGCCGUAAACCAAGGCACCAAACCUGCCCGCCAGAGAAUUACGAGUGAAAAACUCAAAACUCAAAGGACUUGACGGUGUCCCACACCGACCUAGAGGAGCCUGUCCUAUAAUCGAUACUCCACGUUAAACCUCACCCCCCUUAGAAUCAUCAGCCUAUAUACCGCCGUCGUCAGCCUACCUACCAACAGAGAAAAAGUGGGCUCAACAGUACAGCCACUUAAACGUCAGGUCAAGGUGUAGUUAAUGAGGGGGCCAGAGAUGGGCUACAUUUUCUCCCAACCAGAAUACCUACUACAAGUAAUAUGAAAUAUAAACUGAAAGGUGGAUUUAGCAGUAAAAAGGGUAAGAAACACCUAUUUGAAGUUCGCCCUGGGACGCGUACACACCGC
rnacentral:rRNA from 1 species